AGAGGGGUGCAAGCGUUAAUCGGAAUUACUGGGCGUAAAGGCGCGUAGGUUGUAAGUUAAGUUAGAUGUGAAAUUUCCGGGGCUUAACCUGGAGAGGUCAUCUAAAACUGGCUAACUAGAGUACAGUAGAGGGAAGAGGAAUUUCCGGUGUAGCGGUGAAAUGCGUAGAUAUCGGAAGGAACAUCAGUGGCGAAGGCGUCUUCCUGGACUGAUACUGACACUGAGGCGCGAAAGCGUGGGUAGCGAACAGGAUUAGAUACCCUGGUAGUCCACGCCGUAAACGAUGAGAACUAGCUGUUGGGCACGCGAGUGUUUAGUAGCGCAGCUAACGCGAUAAGUUCUCCGCCUGGGGAGUACGGCCGCAAGGUUA
rnacentral:rRNA from 1 species